UUUCCGUAGGUGAACCUGCGGAAGGAUCAUUAUUGGAUUUUGAAACUUCAGGCUGCUGCUGGCUCUCCUCGGAGGGCAUGUGCACGCUUGUUGUCCAUUAUUUCUCCCACUGUGCACAAAUUGUAGACCUUUCAGUAGGCCUAUGUUGUUUUUCACAAUCUCUGAAUGUAAUAGAAUGGUUUUGAAUCUUGGGAAAUACAAGACAACUUUCAGCAACGGAUCUCUUGGCUCUC
rnacentral:misc_RNA from 1 species